rnacentral:rRNA from 1 species
GAUGAACGCUGGCGGCGUGCCUAAUACAUGCAAGUCGAGCGAACGGACGAGAAGCUUGCUUCUCUGAUGUUAGCGGCGGACGGGUGAGUAACACGUGGAUAACCUACCUAUAAGACUGGGAUAACUUCGGGAAACCGGAUCUAAUACCGGAUGAUAUUUUGAACCGCAUGGUUCAAAAGUGAAAGACGGUCUUGCUGUCACUUAUAGAUGGAUCCGCGCUGCAUUAGCUAGUUGGUAAGGUAACGGCUUACCAAGGCAACGAUGCAUAGCCGACCUGAGAGGGUGAUCGGCCACAUUGGAACUGAGACACGGUCCAGACUCCUACGGGAGGCAGCAGUAGGGAAUCUUCCGCAAUGGGCGAAAGCCUGACGGAGCAACGCCGCGUGAGUGAUGAAGGUCUUCGGAUCGUAAAACUCUGUUAUUAGGGAAGAACAUAUGUGUAAGUAACUGUGCACAUCUUGACGGUACCUAAUCAGAAAGCCACGGCUAACUACGUG